AUGAAAACAGUGAUUCUUGAACAGAAUGCGAUUAGUAGAGAAGCGCAGUCUCUUAGAGUCACUUUGAGUACGGGGAAGUCCGCAGGAGGGAUGAGAUCCGCAUGCUACUCCACCUCUUCUUCUUCCCCAAAGACGAAGAAGAAAAUAGGGCCAAGGCGCUAUUGGAGAUGCGCAAAAAAUAUCCAUCGGGAGAUGGCGCUAACGCUAACGCUCGCAAGGCGGUUUUGCAGGCAAUUUCUAAAAAUAAUUUUUUUCGUUGAGCUCAUAACCCGGUUUGGGCCGAUUGACUCUGAGAGCGAUCAAGGGGUCGCGGGCUCACACCUUGCUUUUGCGCAUAGGAUCGAAGAGAUCCUAGAAUUUAAUGGAAAGAGCAGUGGCUCUCUGAAAGACCUCAUUGAUCUUAAAUUGGAUUUGGAAGACGCCUCUAAAAGAGAGGAGAUUCUACUUCCAUAUUUUUCCUCAAAAAAAGAGGCAAUGUCCUAG
rnacentral:rRNA from 1 species